CCCUACGGGGCGCAGCAGUGGGGAAUAUUGCACAAUGGGGGAAACCCUGAUGCAGCGACGCCGCGUGAGUGAAGAAGUAUUUCGGUAUGUAAAGCUCUAUCAGCAGGGAAGAAAAUGACGGUACCUGACUAAGAAGCCCCGGCUAACUACGUGCCAGCAGCCGCGGUAAUACGUAGGGGGCAAGCGUUAUCCGGAUUUACUGGGUGUAAAGGGAGCGUAGACGGCCAGACAAGUCAGAAGUGAAAGCCCAGGGCUCAAUCCUGGGACUGCUUUUGCACCGGCCGGGCCGGACAG
rnacentral:rRNA from 1 species